AAGAAAGGUUUGAAAAUGCAUGGAAAAGUCCACCCUGAUGUGGCGGACAACCAGUUGAUUCUUGCUCCAGGGGUACUCAGCUUUGCUGCAGUAGAGAAAAAGCAAGAAGAACGUGAGCCCUCUGAAGUCUCUGAGAGUUCUGAAUCAGGAACCUUGAUGUCAGCUCAUGCCAUGAAACUAUUCUUUUAUACAAUCAAUCUGGGAACAGAACAUGGACAGAAACUUCAUACUUGUC